UGCCUUUUUAUAAAGGGUUCCUCCCAAACUUUGGACAGCUGGGAUCUUGGAAUGUGAUCAUGUUUCUAACCUUAGAACAGACUAAAAAGUUCGUCAAAAGUUUAGAGUCGACCUAAGUUCAGUUUCCUUGAGAUCUUUUAAGGGGAUUGGUUGCAACUGCAAAUGCAGUGGAAGUUGAGGAAAAUAAAGACUUCUUGUCAAGCUUGUUUCCACGGAUAAAGUUGACAACCUCAGGUGAAGCCAGCCUGUCAAAAACA